CUUAAAGGUUGGUCGCCAUCCAAUUGGUUUGAUCAAGCUGACGUGAAAGGUAGAAAAGUUCAUUAGGGCAAACGUAGCAAGGAAGAAAUCCGAAAUCAGCAAGGCUAUCAUGUCCAGUUGAGCUAAUAUGGACGAAAGCUAAGGCCAAAACAAAAGUGAAACCAAAAGCUCGAUAUGGCUGAUUUGAUGUUCCGGAUCUUUUUCCCCAAAAGCCAACCAUCCAAUAAGGAUAUAAUUUAUCAGCUGCAAUGACUUCCAGUAGAGCUGGACAAGAAACAAAGUCCGACAGCGCUGAGCUGAUUGUAGCUGCUAUGCAACCCACAUAGUUAAGUGGGCCAAAGGCAGACACCAAGGACAUUGCCUUUUUGUGGGUUCAAUUUGAUGUUUUAAUUGUUGAGUACCUUUAGCUCACCGGAAACGUUGGCCCCAGCUAGAAUACCGAUACAGGCAGGGAAGUAAACGGAGAAGACGGAAAUAAAAUUUUGCAGUUGACCACUAGUGACGGUAUAAGCUGGUUCCCAGUUUUCAGCAAGUAUCAUACUGCUGUAUCCAAUAAAUCCUCUCGCUUCUUCCAACUCGGAAGAUGGUCCCAUUAUGCUGCCAGCUAAGAAAUUUACUAACGAUGCCAGCAUAAUAACAAACAUGAUGUCUUUCAUCUAUUUUGUUUCAUACUGGGCUCCGAGACCACAAAUAGCGCAAACGAAUAUCAUUGUAAUUGUGCCAAUGACACGGAUAUCGUUAUAGGCCCCAUCGAAAAGAAUAUAUCCACCAUACUCCAUCAUCAUGUCCUGUACAGCUUGGGCGAAUCCAACCACAUUGAGCGAGCAAUCCAUUGCAUUCGCAAUUGCGAAGAUGAUUCCAAUUGAACCACCAAACUCUGGUCCCAGCACUCUUGACCUAAAAACAACCCAAAAAGAAUUGAAACUGCGUAAUUGACUUACCUGAUGGAUUGUACUUGAAGUCUCUUCUGCAGCCAGCAAAGGCCACGACCGCUUCCAAGCCUUUUAGCACCAAUAUUGGCCGGCUACCCGGUUUUAAAGAAGGUGUUAGGUAAGGUUUUAUUCGCACUACCGUUGCAUCGACCAGCUUCCAUUAGCUACUAUUUAACCUGAAGAAUAUCCUCUGGUUUAAAAAAGAAUAAGUAAAAUACCGAGAAGUACCCUCCAGGAGGCAAGGCGGAGCUUCAAGUUUUUAACUUUGUUUGGCUUAACCUUAUACAGUACGUAAAUCAGUGCUUCUGGCUGUGUUGGUAACCUGCACUAACGUGUUUUAGGCCAUCUAAUGUUUGCCUGCCGCAAGAAUAUAGUUUCACUUUGGAAUUCCCCUCUCUCCAAUCUGAGAAUGUAACAUCACGUGAUUUUUGAGGAUUUUGCCUUUUUAUGCAUACGUUUCGUUUUUAAUCUCUCUAGUAUAGUCGUAUAUGCAACUGUGUUGAGUUCAAGCCUCAUGCUUACUUUCCCGUUACCUACGUUAGAUCUAUCUGCGCUUUGACCAUCACAAUUGCAUUUCAACAAGGGUUUUCCCAUGCCACUUGAAGUAAGAUUGUUGAAAUUCCAGCUAAAGUGAACUUUGAAUUCGCGCCAUGUGUGUUCAUAGUUGACCUCGUCUACAGGUUUACGCUUUCCUCUGACGUGUUUGGUUGCUGGACACUUUCCCUUUACAAGUCUAGAGCCGAACACCGACGUAUUUGUGGUGGCCUCGUCAAUCGCUUUAGCUUUUAACGGGCUUUCUUUGUCUCUUUUGUGCUGGCUUCAGUCUCAUUGCCUGAAUGAGACAGCACCUUCCGUACAAAUCCAUUAACUCGGUGUGUUUUAAAUUAGCAGGUGAGGUAUACAAAAUAAUGCAGGUAAAUUCCACUUGGUAGCAGGCACUGGUUGUGGCAAAGACCAGACAAAACUUUCGUUAUUGUUCUCAGUGAGAUGUUUGAAUUCGUUUUUGAUUAUUCCUUCUUUACACAGCAGUGCACAGAAAUAUAUUUGUGGCUGCCUGUGCAAAAUAAUUUGUUUUACUUGGCAAAAGCUCUUCAUCAUUUGGGCAUUACCAUUCGGAGCCUUUCCCGGGAAUCCCAUGGAAAAUUCCGGGAGAAAUUCUGGUUACCCCGUGACGACUUCGCAUUAACGAACCUCGUUAUUUGUAACUUCCGUAGGGUCACCCGUGAAUACCUGUUGACAUGAAACUGUAACGAGUUCUUUUCGUUUGCUUGAAGAGGUGACAUAUUUGACACGCUGCAGAAACAAAGGUUGAAAAUGGUUGAAAAUGUUGAACCUUUUAAAUGGUUGAAAAUGUUGAAUUGUUUCGUACGUCAUUUGUUUUGUUUUGUUACCCAAACUCUGAGCAAUAGGUAGGGAAAGAUUCAGCCAAUGAAGUGCGAGACGAAAUAAGCCAUGAUGGCUGCCGCCAAA